ensembl:snRNA U1 U1 spliceosomal RNA
AUACUUACCUGGCAGGGGAGAUACUAUGAUCACGAAAGUGGUUUUCCCAGGGCGAGGCUUAUCCAUCACACCCUGGAUGUGCUGACCCCUGCAAUUUCCCCAAAUGAAAAAAAAUUCAAAGAAAGUAAAAGGCCAUCCUGCUAUGCAGACAGGAGAUGGA